rnacentral:rRNA from 1 species
AGAGUGAACGCUGGCGGCAGGCCUAACACAUGCAAGUCGAGCGGCAGCGCGGGGGCAACCCUGGCGGCGAGCGGCGGACGGGUGAGGAAUGCAUCGGAAUCUACCUUGUUGUGGGGGAUAACGUAGGGAAACUUACGCUAAUACCGCAUACGACCUACGGGUGAAAGAGGGGGACCUUCGGGCCUCUCGCGAUAAGAUGAGCCGAUGCCGGAUUAGCUAGUUGGAGGGGUAAAGGCCCACCAAGGCGACGAUCCGUAGCUGGUCUGAGAGGAUGAUCAGCCACACUGGAACUGAGACACGGUCCAGACUCCUACGGGAGGCAGCAGUGGGGAAUAUUGGACAAUGGGCGCAAGCCUGAUCCAGCCAUGCCGCGUGUGUGAAGAAGGCCUUCGGGUUGUAAAGCACUUUUUGUUGGGGAAGAAACCGACCGGGUUAAUACUUCGGUGAAUGACGGUACCAAAGAAUAAGCACCGGCUAACUUCGUGCAGCAGCCGC